CCAAUAGCGUAUAUUAAAGUUGUUGCAGUUAAAAAGCUCGUAGUUGAAUUUCGGGAUCAAUUUAUUGGUCGUGCAAUAGUACGUACUGGUAUUAUUGGUUCCUCCCUUCUGAUGAACCAUGAUGUCAUUAAUUUGGUGUUAUGGGGAAUCAGGACUGUUACUUUGAAAAAAUUAGAGUGUUUAAAGCAGGCUCACGCUUGAAUACAUUAGCAUGGAAUAAUGAAAUAGGACGUUUGAUUCUAUUUUGUUGGUUUCUAGGAUCGACGUAAUGAUUAAUAGGGAUAGUUGGGGGCAUUAGUAUUCAAUUGUCAGAGGUGAAAUUCUUGGAUUUAUUGAAGACUAACUACUGCGAAAGCAUUUGCCAAGGAUGUUUUCAUUAAUCAAGAACGAAAGUUAGGGGAUCGAAGACGAUCAGAUACCGUCGUAGUCUUAACCAUAAACAAUGCCGACUAGGGAUCGGAUGAUGUUAAUUUUUUAAUGACUCAUUCGGCGCCUUACG
rnacentral:rRNA from 1 species